rnacentral:tRNA from 6 species
GUCUUCGUAGUAUAUAAAUUACUUUGGUCUUGUAAACCAAAAAAGGAGAAUAUGUACUCUCCCUAAGACU